rnacentral:rRNA from 1 species
UACGUAGGGUGCGAGCGUUAAUCGGAAUUACUGGGCGUAAAGCGUGCGCAGGCGGCUUUGCAAGACAGAUGUGAAAUCCCCGGGCUCAACCUGGGAACUGCAUUUGUGACUGCAAGGCUAGAGUACGGCAGAGGGGGAUGGAAUUCCGCGUGUAGCAGUGAAAUGCGUAGAGAUCGGGAGGAACACCAGUGGCGAAGGCGACACGCUGGGCCGUACCUGACACUGAUGCGCGACAGCAUGGGGAGCAAACAGG